CCUACGGGUGGCUGCAGUGAGGAAUAUUGGUCAAUGGACGCGAGUCUGAACCAGCCAAGUCGCGUGAAGGAUGACUGCUCUAUGGGUUGUAACCUUCUUUUAUAAAGGAGUAUAACGAGGCACGUCUGCCUUUUUGCAUGUACUUUACGACUAAGCAUCGGCUAACUCCGUGCCAGCAGCCGCGGUAAUACGGAGGAUUCGAGCGUUAUCCGGAUUUAUUGGGUUUAAAGGGAGCGUAGAUGGGUUGUUAAGUCAGUUGUGAAAGUUUGCGGCUCAACCGUAAAAUUGCAAUUGAUACUGGCAGUCUUGAGUACAGUUGAGGUAGGCGGAAUUCGUGGUGUAGCGGUGAAAUGCUUAGAUAUCACGAAGAACCCCGAUGGCGAAGGCAGCUUACUAAACUGUGACUGACAUUGAUGCGCGAAAGUGUGGGUAGCAAACAGGAUUAGAUACCCUAGUAGUC
rnacentral:rRNA from 1 species